AAAUGGUAGAACCGGGGUAAGCGUGUAGGAGGAGGACCAGGUAAAUCCGGGCCUCAUAAACUCUGAGACGUGAUACCGAGCCGCUUCAGGCGAAGUCAUUGAUCCUAUGCUGCCUAGAAAAGCCCAGCAGCGAGUUGACAUGGUGCCCGUACCCCAAACCAACACAGGUGGACAGGUAGAGCAUACCAAGGCGAGUGGGAUAACUAUGGUUAAGGAACUCGGCAAAUUGCCUCCGUAACUCCGGGAGAAGGAGGACCCCAGUAGCGUGAUGAGACUUGCUCUCUGAGCGUGAAGGGGUGGCACAAAAUUGAGGGAAGCGACUGUUUACCAAAAACACAGCAGCGUGCUAAGCCGUAAGGCGCUGUAUACGCUGUGACUCCUGCCCGGUGCUGGAAGGUUACGGGGAUGGGUUAGUCCUUCGGGACGAAGCUCUGAACCUAAGCCCCAGUAAACGGCGGCCGUAACUAUAACGGUCCUAAGGUAGCGAAAUUCCUUGUCGGGUAAGUUCCGACCUGCACGAAUGGAGUAACGACUUCCCUACUGUCUCAACCAUAGACCCAGCGAAAUUGAAGUACGAGUAAAGAUGCUCGUUAGCUGCAGAAGGACGGAAAGACCCCGUGGACCUUUACUAUAACUUGAUGUUGUGUUUUGUCAUAUGUUGUGUAGGAUAGGUGGGAGACUUGGAAGCAUGGACGCUAGUCUGUGUGGAGUCAUCGUUGAAAUACCACCCUGCAUAUGGUGAGGCUCUAACCUAGACCCAUUAUCCGGGUUGGGGACAGCGUCAGGCGGGUAGUUUAACUGGGGCGGUUGCCUCCUAAAGAGUAACGGAGGCGCCCAAAGGUUCCCUCAGCCUGGUUGGCAAUCAGGCGUUGAGUGCAAUGGCAAAAGGGAGCUUGACUGCGAGACCUACAAGUCGAGCAGGAGCGAAAGCUGGGCAUAGUGAUCCGGCGGUUGCGUGUGGAAGCGCCGUCGCUCAACGGAUAAAAGGUACCCCGGGGAUAACAGGCUAAUCUUGCCCAAGCGUCCAUAGCGACGGCAAGGUUUGGCACCUCGAUGUCGGCUCAUCGCAUCCUGGGGCUGAAGCAGGUCCCAAGGGUUGGGCUGUUCGCCCAUUAAAGCGGUACGCGAGCUGGGUUCAGAACGUCGUGAGACAGUUCGGUCCCUAUCCUCUGCAGCCGGAGGUGAAUUGAGGAAAGCUGUCCCUAGUACGAGAGGACCGGGACGGACGCAGCUCUCGUGUGCCAGUUGUCCUGCCAAGGGCAUGGCUGGUUAGCGACCUGCGGAAAGGAUAACCGCUGAAAGCAUCUAAGCGGGAAGCCUCUUCCAAGAUGAAUUCACCCACAGGGUUAACCUGGUAAGGCCCGUGGUAGACCACCACGUUGAUAGGCCGGAAGUGUAAGCGUGGCAACACGUUCAGCUGACCGGUACUAAUCGGCCGAGGGCUU
rnacentral:rRNA from 1 species